UGGGGAAUUUUGGACAAUGGGCGCAAGCCUGAUCCAGCCAUGCCGCGUGCAGGAUGAAGGCCCUCGGGUUGUAAACUGCUUUUGUACGGAACGAAAAGCCUCUUUCUAAUAAAGAGGGGUGAUGACGGUACCGUAAGAAUAAGCACCGGCUAACUACGUGCCAGCAGCCGCGGUAAUACGUAGGGUGCGAGCGUUAAUCGGAAUUACUGGGCGUAAAGCGUGCGCAGGCGGUCUUGCAAGACAGUGGUGAAAUCCCCGGGCUCAACCUGGGAACUGCCAUUGNGACUGCAAAGCUGGAGUACGGCAGAGGGGGAUGGAAUUCCGCGUGUAGCAGUGAAAUGCGUAGAUAUGCGGAGGAACACCGAUGGCGAAGGCAGUCCCCUGGGCCUGUACUGACGCUCAUGCACGAAAGCGUGGGGAGCAAACA
rnacentral:rRNA from 1 species